rnacentral:rRNA from 1 species
GCUUACGGCCAUACCAGCCUGGUUACUCCUGAUCUCGGAAGCUAAGCAGGGUCGGGCCUGGUUAGUACUUGGAUGGGAGACCGCCUGGGAAUACCAGGUGCUGUAAGCA